GCCUGGGUGGCUCAGUUGGUUAAGCAUCUGACUUCGGCUCAGGCCAUGAUCUCACGGUUCGUGGGUUCGAGCCCUGCAUCGGGCU
rnacentral:tRNA from 1 species